rnacentral:rRNA from 1 species
UACAGAGGGUGCGAGCGUUAAUCGGAAUUACUGGGCGUAAAGCGUGCGCAGGCGGUUUUAUAAGCCAGAUGUGAAAUCCCCGGGCUUAACCUGGGAACUGCAUUUGUGACUGUAAGACUAGAGUGCGGCAGAGGGGGGUAGAAUUCCACGUGUAGCAGUGAAAUGCGUAGAUAUGUGGAGGAAUACCGAUGGCGAAGGCAGCCCCCUGGGUCGACACUGACGCUCAUGCACGAAAGCGUGGGGAGCAAACAGG